GUCUUACGUUAUAUUGAUUAUUCAUUAUAUUAUAAUAUAAACUAUAAUGUACCCAAUGUUAAAAUAAUAUGUGCUCGGAUGUAAUGAUACAAUUUAACAAUGAAGUCGCCCAGACAAUCGUUCGCAAUCGUUUUUCAGGUAUGAAAAUCGAUAUUAUCUUUGAACGAACGACGUGUGUUCACGAUUGAGUAUGUCAAGUAGCUAUA